GCUUGUCUCAAAGAUUAAGCCAUGCAUGUCUAAGUAUAAACGACUUUAUACUGUGAAACUGCGAAUGGCUCAUUAUAUCAGUUAUAGUUUAUUUGAUGGUCCUUGCUACUUGGAUAACCGUAGUAAUUCUAGAGCUAAUACAUGCAUCAAGCCCCGACUUCUGGAAGGGGUGUAUUUAUUAGAUUCAAACCAUCGGCCUUCACGGGUCUUUGAUGGUGAGUCAUAAUAACUGAGCGAAUCGAAUGGCCUUGUGCCGUCGAUGCUUCAUUCAAAUUUCUGCCCUAUCAGCUUUCGAUGGUAGGAUCUUGGCCUACCAUGGCUAUAACGGGUAACGGGGAAUUAGGGUUCGAUUCCGGAGAGGGAGCUUGAGAAACGGCUACCACAUCUAAGGAAGGCAGCAGG
rnacentral:rRNA from 1 species